GACGAACCGUGCGAGCGUUAUUCGGAAUCAUUGGGCUUAAAGCGCGUGUAGGCGGAUUCGUGCGUCUGUCGCUGAAAUCCCCCGGCUCAACCGGGGAACGGGCGCGGAUACGACGAGUCUGGAGGGGCGUAGGGGGACCUGGAACUUCCGGUGGAGCGGUGAAAUGCGUUGAGAUCGGAAGGAACGCCCGUGGCGAAAGCGAGGUCCUGGAUGCCUACUGACGCUGAGACGCGAAAGCCAGGGGAGCGAACGGG
rnacentral:rRNA from 1 species